rnacentral:rRNA from 1 species
UACGGAAGGGGCAAGCGUUGUUCGGAAUCAUUGGGCGUAAAGGGCGCGUAGGUGGUUCUGUAUGUCUACCGUGAAAGCAUACAGCUCAACUGUAUUUUGUCGGUAGAAACUGCAGGACUUGAGGCUGGGAGGGGCUGGUGGAAUUCCCUGUGUAGCGGUGAAAUGCGUAGAGAUCGGGAAGAACAUCGGUGGCGAAAGCGCUCUACUGGACGGCAACUGACACUCAGGGACGAAAGCUAGGGGAGCGAAUGGG